rnacentral:rRNA from 1 species
UACAGAGGGCUCAAGCGUUGUUCGGAUUCAUUGGGCGUAAAGGGUGCGUAGGCGGGCCAUUAAGUCAGUGGUGAAAGCUCCGAGCUUAACUCGGAAACUGCCAUUGAUACUAUUGGUCUUGAAUUCGGUCGAGGUUGGCGGAAUGUGUCGUGUAGCGGUGAAAUGCUUAGAUAUGACACAGAACACCGAUUGCGAAGGCAGCUAGCUAGACCGACAUUGACGCUGAGGCACGAAAGCGUGGGGAUCAAACAGG